rnacentral:rRNA from 1 species
UAGGGAAUCUUCGGCAAUGGGGGGAACCCUGACCGAGCAACGCCGCGUGAGUGAAGAAGGUUUUCGGAUCGUAAAGCUCUGUUGUUAAGGAAGAACGAGUGUGAGAAUGGAAAGUUCAUGCUGUGACGGUACUUAACCAGACAGGGACGGCUAACUACGUGCCAGCAGCCGCGGUAAUACGUAGGUCCCGAGCGUUGUCCGGAUUUAUUGGGCGUAAAGCGAGCGCAGGCGGUUAGAAAAGUCUGAAGUGAAAGGCAGUGGCUCAACCAUUGUAGGCUUUGGAAACUGUUUAAAUUGAGUGCAGAAGGGGAGAGUGGAAUUCCAUGUGUAGCGGUGAAAUGCGUAGAUAUAUGGAGGAACACCGGUGGCGAAAGCGGCUCUCUGGUCUGUAACUGACGCUGAGGCUCGAAAGCGUGGGGAGCGAACAGG